CCAGCUCGGCUCGUUAGUGAAACACUAGUUAGUAGCUACUGGUAACUAUUACUGGUUACCCACCAGUUUACCGCCAUUUCUUGGCAUCCCAAUGGUAUGGUCUAAAAAUGGGCGGAAUCAGUUAAUAACCAAUAGAAGUUCAUCCGAUUCGUUCAUUUGACAAUAUAUAAACUAAACACCAGGGAAGAUAUCGGAACAAAUCUUUGCUAAAAUAUUGCGUUUCUAAAAUCACGAAAAUCGGACUAUAACAUUUUAAAGGCCCAGAUACCUUAAAUCUCUCAGAUAUUCUAAAGAAAUUCAAAGGAGAUCUGUUUUUUUCUACUAGUGUACGUCUGUGCCAGUCGAAUUGUGUGUUAUUUAAAUAGCACUAAAUAAAUAAUGUGCGAGAGUAUAUAUACCCGAACAUAGCUUAGCCCUACCUUACUUGUUGUUUGUUUUUCUUUGUGUGUCACUGUAUUUAUACACAUAUGUACUCUCACAAAUACAGCUGCGGUGGCACGCUUCAGCAUUAAAGUAAAUAUACGUAUGUAAAUCGUUCUGUAUGACUGCCAAGCCACAAAUGAACAAAGGUGAAUGUGAACAAAUAUGAUGGCUAACACAAAAUGCACACAAUGAAAGAAAAAGUUGUGCGGGCACCCGCAAAGCGAUUUAUGUUGCUUUUCGGUGUUCUCAGCGGUUUCAAUGUUUUAAAAUACAUUAACAACCAAUUAUCCCAGUAACCAAUAGUGUUCCAUUGAAUCUGCCGCUACGUGCAAAUUUUCACUUAGCUUAUUGCCAAAAGUCAUGGAAAAUACUUGUUGCGAAUAUUUAUCCGAAUUGUAAACUCGGGCGAAAGUCAAAAGGCUUGUUUUUUAUGUUUAUUAUUCUAUUUUUGUUUCAUCUAGAAUUGGGAUCCAAUUGUCAUUUUGACAAAAUAUACAUGUUGUUGUUGCGCAUCGCAAUUUUUAUAGUUUUGGCACUGAAUUAUUGUUGAAUUGAGUGGAAUGUUUUUUAUAUUUAAUUUUUAUAUAUCUUAUUCAUAUUUCUUACAAAAAAUGAUUAACGAAAGACGAACUCAGUACUCAUUCAGUAUCUUUUUGCCAAAUAAAAUUGCAUUGUUUAUAACCUCAAUUGGGUACGCUUCGUUUCAUGUCUUUCAAAACUUGCCUACCUGUUUGGUACAACCUUCAUUACUUAUCGCGCUUGUUGAUUACUGCGCUGAUGCAUAUCUGAAUAACGAGCGACAAUUAGUAGCACAUCGGUGAAAAAUCGUUUGUACACACAUAUUUCUUUGACUUAUUGCAAAAACACUACUCAAAACAUAUUUACAUAAGUAUGUAUACAUACAUUUACUGAAGGAAUCUCAUCGUUAAAAGACGGUGUAAUGAAUAAGCUGCGAGUAAUUGGCAAUAAAAGCAACAUUUAAUUGGAUAUCAUAUUUUUAUGGACACAUGACGACACGCAUUAUAUGUGGAACAUGCGCUUACAACAAUAUAUACAACUUAUUACAUACGUACAAAUGUUACGUAUACGUUACGUCGUCGUUGCAAUUAAAUUUUAUACAGCUGUGCAAUUUAAAUCAACCAUUACACUACGCAUCAUUAAUUCGUUAUCAACAAAUCACUGUGGCGUCCUUAUGUAAAAAUAUAUAUAACGAUAUCAGAUGAAAUAGUAGGUCUCACAGGCGCCAUGAAAUUUAACGACGACGGACGGGAUGACUGUAAACAGCACCAUGACAAAAGUGGCUAAAUGGAGUAAUGACCCUGGCCUGAGGAAGAGUAGGUAAGUCUACGGCCACAAGUGGGAAUCGAAAGGAACUGUUCGGAGAGCCGUACAUGAUGAUGAAGCGUACACACAUUGAUGAGCAAUUGUGUGACAAUGACCGCUUGGAAGUCUACUGCAAGGAUUUUUCCGAUUUAUUGGUCACGAAGUUGGUCAUCAAUUUAUUACCACUAUGCAUAUAAAUUACCACUGCUCAAGAAUACUAUAUACGGUUCAGAGAAUUCCACAGUCCGCGUCGGCAGGGAAAAUAUAAUCGAUGAUCUGAUGUGACGAGUAAGUAAAUAAAGGACUGCGCUCGUGUUCAGUGUCAUCUGGUGUAUUCAGUUUCAUGGAUCCAUUAUCGCAGGAAACUUGGGUGGGUAUUGCCGAAAACUUUUAAUAUUUUUGUUAUCAAACAAUUCUCUUUAGGAUUUUUAA